AAUCAACGCUGGCGGCGUGCCUCAGACAUGCAAGUCGAACGCGAAAGUCCCCUUCGGGGGACAAGUAGAGUGGCGCACGGGUGAGUAACACGUAGGUAAUCUACCUUCGGGUGGGGAAUAACGCAGGGAAACUUGCGCUAAUACCGCAUAAUGCAGCGGCACCACAUGGUGACAGUUGUUAAAGCGGGGGAUUUUCGGACCUCGCGCCUGAAGAGGAGCCUGCGGCAGAUUAGCUAGUUGGUAAGGUAACGGCUUACCAAGGCGACGAUCUGUAGCCGGCCUGAGAGGGCGGUCGGCCACACUGACACUGACAUACGGGUCAGACUCCUACGGGAGGCAGCAGUCGGGAAUUUUGGGCAAUGGGCGAAAGCCUGACCCAACAACGCCGCGUGAAGGAUGAAAUCCCUCGGGAUGUAAACUUCGCAAGAAUAGGAAGAAUGAACGAGCGCUAACACCGUUCGUGAUGACGGUACUAUUUGUAAGCUCCGGCUAACUCCGUGCCAGCAGCCG
rnacentral:rRNA from 1 species